AUUGAACGCUGGCGGCGUGCCUAACACAUGCAAGUCGAGCGGUAACGCGGGAGCAAUCCUGGCGACGAGCGGCGAACGGGUGAGUAAUGCUUCGGAAUCUUCCCAGUUGUGGGGAAUAACUAGCCGAAAGGUUAGCUAAUACCGCAUACGUCCUACGGGAGAAAGCAGGGGAUCGCAAGACCUUGCGCUAUUGGAUGAGCCGAAGUCGGAUUAGCUAGUUGGUAGGGUAACGGCCUACCAAGGCGACAAUCCGUAGCUGGUCUGAGAGGA
rnacentral:rRNA from 1 species